CCUACGGGAGGCUGCAGUGGGGAAUAUUGCACAAUGGGCGCAAGCCUGAUGCAGCGACGCCGCGUGAGCGAUGAAGGCCUUCGGGUCGUAAAGCUCUGUCCUAAGGGAAGAAUAAUGACGGUACCCAAGGCGGAAGCCCCGGCUAACUACGUGCCAGCAGCCGCGGUAAUACGUAGGGGGCGAGCGUUAUCCGGAAUCACUGGGCGUAAAGGGUGCGUAGGCGGCCCAGCAAGUCAGGAGUUAAAUCCCUCGGCUCGACCGAGGUCAGCGCUUGAAACUGUAGGGCUUGAGUGCAGGCGAGUGGAGGGGAAUUCCGAGGGAAGCGGUGAAAUUCGUAGAUAUAGGAGGAACACCAGUGGCGAAGGCGGCUCUCUGGACUGCAACUGACGCUGUGGCACGAAAGCGUGGGGAGCGAACAGGAUUAGAUACCCUAGUAGUC
rnacentral:rRNA from 1 species